GAUUGAAAUAGUCCUUGAUGUAUGCAAAAUAUGGAUGGUUUUGGUCCUAAAUCCUAAAUAUAAUGCCGUAACAUUAUUCAAAUGUUUGACACAAAAAAUCCAUCAAAUGUAAGUGAAAUAUUUUUAAUUUUUUUAAUUUUUACUUUUUUAUUAUUUUUAUUUUUAAAAUGUAUUAUUCUUUUUAUAUUAUUUAUUUUUCAUUUUCUUUCUUUUCAUUCCCAACCUUCACUUCUUAUGAUUCCAUGUAAUUGCUCGUAUUUUUUUAUUUUAUUCAUUUAGCAUAACCGUGUUAGCAUAACCGUGUUAUUAUUCUAAUAUUUGAAACUACGCCUCUUAAUAUUGAAAAGAAUGAGUUAUUAACAAACUUGACAUAUAACGGGUGACGUUAUUAAAGUAGAAUUUCAUUGUGAAUGGGGUUAUAAACUUAUAUUUUUCCUUUCUUUUGAAUUAUUUACUUAAGUUUCAACGUAACAUACUUAUGUAAUGUUAUGAAUAAUACUCAUAUGUCAAAUUCUAACAUUACAUAAGUAAGUUUCAACGUAACUUAAGUAAAUAAUUCAAAAGAAAGGAAAAAUAUAAGUUUAUAAUAACACGGUAUGCUAAAUGAAUAAAAUAAAAAAAUACGAGCAAUUACAUGGAAUCAUAAGAAAUAAAGGUUGGGAAUGAAAAUAAAGAAAAUGAAAAAUAAAUAAUAUAAAAAGAAUAAUACAUUUUAAAAAUAAAAAUAAUAAAAAAGUAAAAAUUAAAAAAAUUUCACUUACAUUUGAUGGAUUUUUUGUGUCAAACAUUUGAAUAAUGUUACGGCAUUAUAUUUAGAAUUUAGGACCAAAACUAUCCACAUUUUGCAUACAUCAAGGACUAUUUCAAUCAAGUGAAUAUAUCAAGGACCAAAACAAUCCAACCCUCAUACAUUAAGGACCAUUUUGAUCAUUUUCUCGAAACAUCAAGGACUAUUUCAAUCAAGUGAAUAUAUCAAGGACCAAAACAAUCCAACCCUCAUACAUUAAGGACCAUUUUGAUCAUUUUCUCGAAACAUCAAGGACUAUUUCAAUCAAGUGAAUAUAUCAAGGACCAAAACAAUCUAACCCUCAUACAUUAAGGACCAUUUUGAUCAUUUUCUCGAUGUAAAUCAUCUCAUAAAGUUAAAUUAUUUCUAAAUAUAGAAAAAAGAUAAUUUUUUUGGGACAGAUUAAAAAGGAAAUGAGGAAAAAUUUUAGGACGAAGGGAGCAGCAUACAGUUCUCGUGCGCGCGCGCCCUCUCUCUUCACUCUUAAAAACAAUUAGCAUACAGUAAAGUUAUUUCCAUUCCAUUCUCAGAUAUGAGAAUGGUAUUCCAUUCUUACCUUUCUUUUUUGUCCAUUCUGCUACCAUCACUCUUAGCUUAUAUUCCAUAUAUUUUCAUAGGCAACAACUCAUUAGCAUAGACAAUCUUCUUAACCUUUGAAAUUUCCAUUCUCAGGUGAGAAAUUUCUAUUUUCAUUAAUUAUUUCGAUUUUCAGUUCUGCUAUUGUUGGGAUUGUUAGCUAUAAUUUCUCAAUCCCUAGCUGGAAUUCCUCUUCUAAAUUGAUUUUUAGGGCUCAUGCAUGAAUGGAAUUUUGAAAUUUCUGUUUCUGUGUAAACAUUUUGAAAAUUUUAGGGUUCAUGUAGCGAUUUUCCCCAAUUUGUUUCUCUUUUCUGGUUGCCACUUUUGUUCACUUUUUUUUUUCCAUAUAACAUCUUUUAGUUUACACUCUGCUUUUUGUAAUUUUUCAGUUUAAUUGGUUUGAUAUAUGUUUUAAUUUUGGUUGUUUUGUCUCGUAUUUGGAUUGUAUGCAAUUAAUUUAUAGGUAGCCAAGGGAUCAAAUCUGUGUUCACUAUUGAAUAUAAGAACCAUAGCUUGUAAUUAAGCUACGUAUUGCAUUUACCAUUUAGUACAUGUUUCUGUUUCUUGAUUGGCUGAGGAAACGAGGUUGUUUAUCAUUGAGUAUUUUGUCAAUAUAUUGUAUCAUGUUUCAUUUAAUAUGUGAACUAUUCCAGUUUACUUUUCUCCUUUACGUAGCUAGAUAGGCGAAAUGGCUACUAAGAAGUUCUGUUUACAAUUUUUUCCUCAACAUUCUUUCUUUUUUCUCCUUUUGUUGAUAGACAUGACAUGUAAAGUUCUCUCUCUAUCUCUCUGGAAAAAAAAUAUCAUUUUUACUUUAAGGAUUGAAUUAUGUGUCUGUAUGUAGGAACUCUAAAGAGUUCAUGUUUGUAUGUAGGAACUCUACAUACAGACACAUGAUUCAAUCGUAAAAGUUGUAUAUCAAGAGGCUUCACCCAAAAUAAUUUAUGUUUCUUCCAUCUCUUUGUUUGUUUUUGCUUUAUUUUGUCCUGAACUAACUUUUUCAUUUUAAUAUUAUGAUUCAAUCGUAAAAGUUGUAUAUCAAGAGGCUUCACCCAAAAUAAUUUAUGUUUCUUCCAUCUCUUUGUUUGUGUUUGCUUUAUUUUGUCCUGAACUAACUUUUUCAUUUUAAUAUUAUGAUUCUAUUUUAAUUUUAAGUUGGAUCGUUCCAACAUUAUGUUCUGUUGUUUCCAUAAAUACGCGUCAGUGGAGUCUUAUCAAAUGUACUUGGAAAGAGUAUCUCAUAAAUGCUAAGAUAGAGUACAAGAAAAAGAUAGGAGAUGAUUGGGCGACUCUUGAUAGGAAAUGUUGGCAGCUAACCCUCGUAUUAUUGAAGAGAUUCAUACAAUUAGCUUUAAGCAAGCUCAAAGAAAAGAGAAAAAUAAAGAAUCAUCUAUUUUAAGAUGCAUUUCGAGAUGGAGAGCUCAUUAAAUUGGAUUGAUCAUUGUAGUUCGGCAUUAGAUUUCUUUUGUUUUUCGUUUGCUUUUUUAUUUCCUUAACCUCGACACCACAAAAAUGGAUCACGUUGUAGUAUUUUCAGCUAUUUUGUUUUUCUCUUCGUUAUAUACUUGCUUAGUAGUUUGUGGUUUAUGCCAAUUUAAACUAUUUCAUUUUCUCCAUAUCUAAAUUUCAUUUGGUCUCAUUUCAUUAGUA